CCUACGGGUGGCAGCAGUGAGGAAUAUUGGUCAAUGGACGAGAGUCUGAACCAGCCAAGUAGCGUGAAGGAUGACUGCCCUAUGGGUUGUAAACUUCUUUUAUAUGGGAAUAAAACAGGGUAUGCAUACCCUCUUGUAUGUACCAUAUGAGUAAGGAUCGGCUAACUCCGUGCCAGCAGCCGCGGUAAUACGGAGGAUCCGAGCGUUAUCCGGAUUUCUUGGGUUUAAAGGGAGCGUAGGUGGAUUGUUAAGUCAGUUGUGAAAGUUUGCGGCUCAACCGUAAAAUUGCAGUUGAAACUGGCAGUCUGGAGUACAGUAGAGGUGGGCGGAAUUCGUGGUGUAGCGGUGAAAUGCUUAGAUAUCACGAAGAACUCCGAUUGCGAAGGCAGCUCACUGGACUGCAACUGACACUGAUGCUCGAAAGUGUGGGUAUCAAACAGGAUUAGAUACCCGGGUAGUC
rnacentral:rRNA from 1 species